CGGGAAAGUAUGUUCGCAACAUGUCCUUUCUCUAGCGAGCAUCGAACUCUCCGCUAUCUACUGUGGAGGCAUAUGCAGUAUUGUCCUGAAAAUCCUGACAAUAAGAAGUUGGAGAAUGAGAAGCCAUCGCAUACUAAAGAACUCCAGCUACGGGACAGCCUGGCUGCCCAAAAUUCUCUUGCCUCAUCAAAGUCGGCAGAAGAGAACAUUCCGACGGCAAGGAACACCAUAGAACAGUCAUCGGCACCACAAGAGAGUGAAGAGGAGGGCUGGGAUGCAGAGCCACCUGCACCCCCAAAUGUGUAUCGUUCGAAUCUUAAGGCAGACAUAGUCGUAGGUGCGGUGGAAUUCUCUGAGCCACGACAUAGUCCAAAAUCUGCAGAACAUCUGCAGAAGGGAGCACAAGCGGAUUCGACAUCAUGCCCUGAGCCGCGGCAGCGUCCUCCGUCUCCAUACCCGCCCCUGAGAGAGAGUGAAGAGAACUGGGAUGCAGACCCACCUGCACCCCCAUAUGUGUAUCGUUCGAGUCGUAAGGCAGACGUAGUCGUAGGUGCACUUAGUUUCAAUUCUAGGUCAUUACGCCGCCACUUUACAGUAGGUCAUCAGCUAUACCCCAAGAAAAUACUUGAAAUUGAUGAGCGUUUUAAUGCUUCAAAUGAAGACGCAUCUGAACUCUAGAAACCAUACGUUCUAUACCCAAAUCAAGCAAUCCAGAACACACAACUAUGGUUAAAACAGAAGACACUGAUAUUUCCAGGAAUCAAUAAAUUAAUCAUUUAACAAAAAUUACGAUCAUGAAAGUUCGUAUAUACUUUAAGCACUAUUUAUUCCGUGUCGAGACCUGAGACCUGUUGUCUCUAAACACCUUUCAACAAUCAAUUAGAACACUUGAGAAAUUCAUACCUAUAUAAAAGACUCACACAAGAUCUUCACUUAUCACAGUUGUUUUCCAGAUUACUAUCGUAGCCAAGUAUGGUCCAAAUGUAUCCGAACUAUAUAUCUGUGAUUCGUUCCGAGACCUGAGACCACAUCAAGAACCAAAAACUCAAUAACACCUAUAAUGCUAUGAAACAACAGCAGAAAACUGAAAUAACUCACAAUUUCAACGGAUAUUGAGACUGUUUUUAUAUAAUUCUUCAAUAAACAAAUAACGGCUGGUGUUUAAAAAACACUCUAU